GUGACAAGUUAAAACUUGCUUAGGUGUGGCAGAUACUGUGAUGUGAAUGGACACAAUGGAUUAGUAACUUUGGUGCACUUGUGAGAAGUGUGGAAACAUGACAGGUGUUGCAGUGCAUCUGCCGCAGUGAAGUCACUCGGAUUACUGUGAGGUGUGAAGAUGAGACUGUGUGGUGUAUCCCUGCCAUUCUGGAUCCCCAUGUUCUGCAAACAGCAUGCUACAUCAGUGCACCUGUGAGAAGUGUGCAAACAUGACAGGUGUUGCAGUGCAUCUGCCGCAGUGAAGUCACUCGGAUUACUGUGAGGUGUGAAGAUGAGACUUUGUGGUGUAUCCCUGCCAUUCUGGAUCCCCAUGUUCUGCAAACAGCAUGCUACAUCAGUACGCUGUACAGUGUAAUGAUGGAAAUGUUUAGACAUAAAUUAGUACUAGCAUCAAGCAUUUCAUAGUAAUCUGUUACUCCUGUGUUAUAGUCACUACUAAUAAUCAUACUGCUCUUGUAUUAAAUACUCCUAAACAGUAUUAACUAUUGAUACUGACAGUUGUUUGCAAUGCUGCGUUACUUGUGCUAACUGAAUGCAGUACAGCUUUGUAAAGUGCACAGUGAAUGCUGCCUUGCUACAUCUGAGUCGUGUUUUUUUUGUUUGUUUGUUUUUGUUAUUAUGGGAAGUAUAAAUGCACUGCAUUUAGGCAACUGAUACAGAGGUGCUACAGAUACCUUGGAAGAUAUAUAUUAGUUUAAAGCU